GCGCUGCAGCCUGGAGGCUCCGGGCGCGGGGAAGUCAUGCUCGCUUCACGGAGGCAAUAGCUAGCCGUGCAACAGAAAUAAACCAAAUGUGUUCGAACAUAUGUCAGAGGGCUGACAUAAUCAUAUGAAGAAUGCUAUACCAGUUUGGCUUUGGGACGAAAUGUGAAUCUACUAGGGAAACAUACAACUGCCCUCUGAGUCAGAAGAUCAGAAGUUGCUGUGGCUACACAUAGUGUCUGUGGGAGGUUAUGUUUAUUUGAGACUUCUCCAUCGGGAUCGCCUGGUGUCACCAAGUGUCCA
rnacentral:sRNA from 1 species